rnacentral:rRNA from 1 species
GCCCUUCGGGGUGAGUACAGCGGCGGACGGGUGAGUAACGCGUAGGAAUCUACCUAGUAGUGGGGGACAACUCGUGGAAACGCGAGCUAAUACCGCAUACGCCCUACGGGGGAAAGCGGGGGAUCUUCGGACCUCGUGCUAUUAGAUGAGCCUGCGUAAGAUUAGCUAGUUGGUGGGGUAAUGGCCUACCAAGGCGACGAUCUUUAGCUGGUCUGAGAGGAUGAUCAGCCACACCGGGACUGAGACACGGCCCGGACUCCUACGGGAGGCAGCAGUCGGGAAUAUUGCGCAAUGGGCGAAAGCCUGACGCAGCCAUGCCGCGUGUGUGAAGAAGGCCCUAGGGUUGUAAAGCACUUUCAAUUGGGAGGAAAAGCUAAUGGUUAAUAGCCAUUAGCCCUGACGUUACCUUUAGAAGAAGCACCGGCUAACUCCGUGCCAGCAGCCGCGGUAAUACGGAGGGUGCAAGCGUUAAUCGGAAUUACUGGGCGUAAAGCGCGCGUAGGCGGUUUUUUAAGUCGGAUGUGAAAGCCCCGGGCUCAACCUGGGAAUCGCAUCCGAUACUGGAUAACUAGAAUGCGGGAGAGGGAGGUAGAAUUCCAUGUGUAGCAGUGAAAUGCGUAGAUAUAUGGAGGAAUACCAGUGGCGAAGGCGGCCUCCUGGCUCGACAUUGACGCUGAGGUGCGAAAGCGUGGGGAGCAAACGGGAUUAGAUACCCCGGUAGUCCACGCCGUAAACGAUGUCUACUAGCUGUAGGGGUACUUGAGACCUUUGUAGCGCAGCUAACGCAAUAAGUAGACCGCCUGGGGAGUACGGCCGCAAGGUUAAAACUCAAAUGAAUUGACGGGGGCCCGCACAAGCAGUGGAGCAUGUGGUUUAAUUCGAUGCAACGCGAAGAACCUUACCAGGCCUUGACAUCCCCGGAACUUUCUAGAGAUAGAUUGGUGCCUUCGGGAACCGGGUGACAGGUGCUGCAUGGCUGUCGUCAGCUCGUGU